rnacentral:rRNA from 1 species
GACGAANGCUGGCGGCGUGCCUAAUACAUGCAAGUAGAACGCUGAAGGAGGAGCUUGCUUCUCUGGAUGAGUUGCGAACGGGUGAGUAACGCGUAGGUAACCUGCCUGGUAGCGGGGGAUAACUAUUGGUAACGAUAGCUAAUACCGCAUAAGAGUAGAUGUUGCAUGACAUUUGCUUAAAAGGUGCAAUUGCAUCACUACCAGAUGGACCUGCGUUGUAUUAGCUAGUUGGUGGGGUAACGGCUCACCAAGGCGACGAUACAUAGCCGACCUGAGAGGGUGAUCGGCCACACUGGGACUGAGACACGGCCCAGACUCCUACGGGAGGCAGCAGUAGGGAAUCUUCGGCAAUGGACGGAAGUCUGACCGAGCAACGCCGCGUGAGUGAAGAAGGUUUUCGGAUCGUAAAGCUCUGUUGUAAGAGAAGAACGAGUGUGAGAGUGGGAAGUUCACACUGUGACGGUAUCUUACCAGAAAGGGACGGCUAACUACGUGCCAGCAGCCGCGGUAAUACGUAGGUCCCGAGCGUUGUCCGGAUUUAUUGGGCGUAAAGCGAGCGCAGGCGGUUAGAUAAGUCUGAAGUUAAAGGCUGUGGCUUAACCAUAGUACGCUUUGGAAACUGUUUAACUUGAGUGCAAGAGGGGAGAGUGGAAUUCCAUGUGUAGCGGUGAAAUGCGUAGAUAUAUGGAGGAACACCGGUGGCGAAAGCGGCUCUCUGGCUUGUAACUGACGCNGAGGCUCGAAAGCGUGGGGAGCAAACAGG